AGUGAACGCUGGCGGUAGGCCUAACACAUGCAAGUCGAACGGCAGCACAAUAAGAGCUUGCUCUUACGGGUGGCGAGUGGCGGACGGGUGAGGAAUACAUCGGAAUCUACUUUUUCGUGGGGGAUAACGUAGGGAAACUUACGCUAAUACCGCAUACGACCUACGGGUGAAAGCAGGGGAUCUUCGGACCUUGCGCGAUUGAAUGAGCCGAUGUCGGAUUAGCUAGUUGGCGGGGUAAAGGCCCACCAAGGCGACGAUCCGUAGCUGGUCUGAGAGGAUGAUCAGCCACACUGGAACUGAGACACGGUCCAGACUCCUACGGGAGGCAGCAGUGGGGAAUAUUGGACAAUGGACGCAAGCCUGAUCCAGCCAUACCGCGUGGGUGAAGAAGGCCUUCGGGUUGUAAAGCCCUUUUGUUGGGAAAGAAAAGCAGCAGGUUAAUACCCCGCUGUUCUGACGGUACCCAAAGAAUAAGCACCGGCUAACUUCGUG
rnacentral:rRNA from 1 species